GGGACAAUGAAUUUAUAGCGGCGUGCCAUCCUGCAAUGGCAAUUUCAACAAUUCGUCACUGCACGCUGCCUCUUAAAGGGAGAGCUUCCCCCACCACUCCCACCCUUCCCGGUCCGCGCCUAAUCUGAUGGGGGAGGGCGCCGGGAGAGGCGGAGGGUGAUCGAGGAAAGGGAGACCCGGAAAGAGGAAGGGACCAGAACCUAGCUAACAAGGUGGAAGGAGAGACAAAGGAGGGAGCAAGGGGGAGAGAGAGAUUGAGAGAGAGACAGCAUUUGGGCAGAAAACAAGAAAAUUCACUUGGCCUCAUUUAAAGCCACAGCAACUCAGGGUCUGUUGUGGUAUUUCACAACCAAACGGGGUUGGCUAACCUCGGCUUACCUCAUCUCCUUAAGGGGUGUUUUGGUGUGUUUUUAAAGUCUCUCCCUAGCUCCUUCCCCUUGCUGUUCUUGCACGGGAUAUGAAGUUCUUGCCUCAUUUUGUGGGCCGGUGCGCUCUGGCCUUGUUGACCUGGUAACUUCACUGGACAGGGCAGCUGCCCGUGCACUCCCAAGUCCAUCUUUCUUUUCCCUGGCUCCCUCCAGUCGUCUGGGUAGCUGAUCUCCAGACUUUUCAUCUUCUAGCUUGUUCAAGCUCCAACACUUGCUGACUUCGGGUUAGGGGUGACUAACUUCUCCCGGCCACCAGCUGAGCAGCCGGGCAGCCACGGGUGCUUCCUGGCGCGUCUCUGGGCAUGCAGCACUGCGGUGACCCCAACAGGGCCGGCUGCGGCCUGGGAAGUCCUUGGCUUUGUGUAUAAAUGGCGGUGCUCCCAGCUUUUUCCAGCGCAUAGUUGGUCAGUGCCCACAAUCUGUCACUUAUCCCAGCCACUGGAACUCUUUGAGCUGUAGGAUGUCAGGGUGGGAAAGAGUUAACUCUUGAAGGGAAUUCAGCACCCCCACCCCAAACUUUUAUAUUUGUGCUCACACUUUCUCUCUUUCCUUCUUAAAAGGUAAUUAAAUGGCAAGCACUCCUUUGUUUGUUUACUCACUACAUCUCUCCUAAGUCAUUCACUUACUACAUCUCUCCUAAGUCAUUCACUUACUACAUCUCUCCUAAGUCAUUCACUUACUGUCGGUCCCCUACUCUUGCUUCCAGGAUCAUUUCCAAAGCUCCUAUUCCAAUGGAAGAAUACUUUAGGGGAGGUGAUUGGUGGUUAUUAGUGGGCAGAUGGCAUGGCCCCUGCCACUUACUUCCUCCAUCCCUUUUCCCCUCUCAUUAUCAAUUCUAAGAAGGUGAACUGGAAAACCCACUGGCUUUCUCAGAGCAAGCUGAUGGGUGGCAGGCAGGUCCAAUACUGGAAUCCGCACACACCUCAUAUAAUUUACACAUUUCCAUCCUUUUCAGCUUCAUUGCUUCAGAGGAGAGCAGGUGCACUUGCAUAGCUCCCCCAAAUAGUACAUUCUCAGGUAAGGUACCAGGCAGUCCAAGAAACAACAGUUAAGGUAAAAGAGGGCAUGGGUUUCAGAGAGACAGAACAAGGUGUGUGUGGGGGGGGUGGACAUGGGAGAAGUUGAGAAAGACUGGCUGGAUCCUGAAACCAAUCAGGACCUAGAAGGAGGCUGCUGCUGAAACACUUGCUCCUCAAUCCUCAAGAUGAUCAAGUAGGUUUCCUGUAGUCAGCAUUCCAAGGCAGUGGGCAAGCAUCAAAGGCAGAGAAUGGAGGUACCGGCCAUCUUCUCCGUGGCCCAGUAGCCUUCAGGUUUACGACGACCAAAGUAACUCCAGGGAAGAUUACCUGGUACCUAUUCGUGUAGCAGAGGCCAGCAUGAGAACAGCCCCCAUAGGUGCAUACGUGCGGUCUCCAGUUGGUGGAGAGGUUCGGGAAGAGUUGGGAGGUGCGGCUUUAUUGGAGGAGGUACAUCACUCAGGAGAAACGCUCUCUGCUUCCAGCGUUGGAAUCAAGAUGUGAGCUCUCAGCUGACCCUGCCAUCAUGGACUCAAAUCCUCUGAAGCCGUAAGCCCAAUUAAACAUUUUCAACUUUUAUUAUUUUAUUCUGUCCUGAUUUUUUUUUUUUGUCACCACAAUUGGUAAGUAAUUAAGAUACAGACUUUAUUUCUUUUACGCCACUUUCCAAAAAAAAUAAUAAAGUACAAUAUUUGGUAUCAAACAAAGUUUCCAAAAACAAUUUUUAUUUGAAAGGUGCAACUUACUCAUCUGUGUCUCACAGAAUCAUUUAGAAAGCAGGUCUUUCAGGUGACCCUGGGGUAAGGCUGCUAACUGCAAUUGUUUUCAUUUGUGGACAGGUUCCUUAUGGAUUUCCCGAUGACUUUACCCUCACUGAAGCCUUUUGUCAUCUCUAAAACCUGUUGCUCUCUUAAAGGAACGCAAUCUGAAUUUCAUGCCUUCAUUUCUGAUAAAUGAAUGACAUUAGAAUUCAGACCAAUUAACCAAAUGUUUGGAAAUAUGUUAAGAGCAGAUUUGUUUCAAAGUGUGAGCAUGAAAUAGUAAGUGUUUGCUGGCAGUAUUUGUUACAGGGAUAGAGGCAGAUAGAGCUUGGGAUACAAUAAGUAAAUAUUAUUGAUGUUUAAUUACUUAUUUUUUUUUUGGUGUGUGUGCUGUUUGUUUUGUUUUGGUUUGGUUUGGGGAUUUUUUUCUCCAUGUAUUUAGUUUCUGUGGAAGGUAUUUGCAUUCUGUAGAAAGUUAGUUACUAUUUGAAACAGAGACUGCACCAGUGAACCUGUGCAACCAAGUUGUUCCAGAGCAGAAAUUAACCAGUAUUAAUUUAGAGUAGUAUUUCAGUAGGUCAAAACAGCAGUCUUUAGUUUUGCAAUAAGAAGAAAAAAAUAUAUUGUUCACCAUGUUAGAUGGAGCCAUUGAUUACAUUUUGCUCUAAUAGCUACUUUUUCUGCAUAGGUAAUAAGAAUUAUUUUUUAACACAUUUAUUGAAUACAUGAUCCAAAAUCACAGACGUAUAAACUUUACAUUUCCUCAAAGAAAUAUUUUCUACUAUAGAAUGCUGCGAGUUCAAAAUUGCUGUGGGGAUUUGUUGGGGGUUUGUUCUAAUGCUUUGUUUUAAUCGGGAAUCCAAACGCUGAAGUCAUUGUCCCCAGUUGGUUUUCGAUUGAUCAAUAUAGAUGCCAGUGAUCAAUGGCUGGACAAAGGGAGAAUGGGCAGGGCCCUUAGAUUUGCUCAGGCUAGGACUGGGGAGACAGAAAGGAAGAAUUUCCAUGACUCAGGGUAGAAAGAUGGGAUGCAGGAGCUGCAGGAGAGAAAGCCAACCAGCCAUGUGAGAAUUUGGGGUUGGGGGUGUGGUAGCCACUGGCCACUUCCUGGUUGGGCCUGGGUUAGCAAAAAAAUUUAGGAGUGCAGUGCCUUUAAGGUAGCCAAGGCAUUUUAAACAUAAUUGGUGUGUGUGUGUGUGUCUGUGUGUGUGUCUGUGUGUGUGUCUGUGUGUGUGUGUGUCUGUGUGUGUGUGUGUGUGUGUGUGUGUGUGUUUGUGUGUUCCAUUCUGGAACUGAGGUAGCUCCUGGGUGAGUGUGCAAGAGACUCACCAUAAGCCAAAGAUGUGGAGUUCAAACUUACUGACACAGGGAUUGCAUGAGGCAUCAACCAUCUACUGGUCAGUCACAAGCUGAUGCUUCCACGAAAAGGGACUACUAGUGACACACUCUGCCGAAACUGCAAUCUUCUACCUCUUAAUUAUAUCCACUCUGCAAACACCUCUUAAAACCUACGUAGCUUAUGAAAAUACAUGUCAAGGUGUGAAAGGUUCCGGGAGACUCUCUGGGGACUUGUGAAGGUGAGUAAGCCAUGACUGAUGUUUGCAAAGAAUUCACAGUUCAGAAAUGGCGCCAAGAAGAUCAAUAGGUACUUGGACUCCAACCUGGAAAAUACAAAUACGGAAGAGAAGAAAGGGAACAGCAUCUACAGGUGCUCUGCUCUCUGUUUCCAGCAUGGCUGCACUCCACAGCCUUUUGGCCCUGGUAUGUAGUAUUUUCUCAUAUUUCCAUUUGCUAAAGUGUCAAAUCCUCACUUCUACCCUAAACCGUGCUUUUAAUGGUAGGAGUGAGGAAAUACCUGACAGUAAAAUAUUCCCCUCCAGCCAAACACCUGCUUUUUACCUCCCACGUGGAAGAAUCACAGACUCUCAAUUUUGUUUUGCUUUCCCACAUCAAGAUUUCUACCCCAGGCCUUGCUGCCUGGGGAACCUGCUCCCUUGGUAAAAGGAACAUGGAUGCCAUCAACGGAAAUGUCUUGCUGCGUGGCACCAUUUUAUAUGAUGUGAAAGGAGCCUCUUCUUCCUGUGUCACUGUGACUUGCAACGUUCUGAAGAGUUCCAGUUAAAAAGCAAAGUUGGACUAUAGCGGUAAGGUAGAGGGCGUAUGUGCUGUUCUAGCUCAGACACACUCCCGGAGCCUGGAGAGGGUUUUCACAGAAUCUGCUGUUCAACAAUCUCCCUUUUCUCGUUUACCACUCUGGCCAACUCUUGCGUUCCCCAAUGCAGGCAAACAUCUGAUGACUAGGGACGUCCUGGAGCUUCGCACACAACAAGCAUACUUAAUGUACACAUGCAUGCAGAUGUGUUCAUCCCAACUCAUGCUCCCUCUACACUGCGCUGAUAGGUGACUGCUGGCUCAGAGCUCGGAUAAGUAGCAAAGUGGGGAUCAUUUGCUCUUUCCCCCUUGCAAAGACAAUAUUCUUGAGACUCGCUCGGUGGAGACAUUUUUCUUCUUAGCAAAGAAUUUGCUUCAUGCCUGGUAGAAGUCAAAAUCAUUUUCUCUGUUAUCUGAAUAGAAAAGGUGACAGAACAAUUUCUCUGUUGUUAUUGACCACAUGUGUUUCCAACUAAGCUUUACUUAAUCUCAUUAUGAAAAUACAUUUUUUUAAAGAAAAUCUAGAUUUUCAUUUCUUUAUUCACAGGAAUUUUAUACCCUGUAAAAAGGCUUCGAAUGAAAAAUACCCACAUGUAUUACUCAAGACAUGCAGGUGUUAUGGGUAAAGAAAACCGGAGAGUCAAUCUUUUAUGCUGACCAGCUGGAAAAUGUUGUUUUAGCUUUUGUCACACAACUAUGCACUUUUGCUUUUAUGAGUUACCCAAAUUCUUUUUUUUUUUCCUCUUUAUUUUCUAGAAAUUCUCUCAAACAUCAUGUCUUACGGGAAACACAUGGAAAACCAGGACUUUCCCACCCAGAGUAAUUUUAGACAUCUGAGCUUUGUUUCUCUCUUUUUCUUUUUCUUUCCCCUUCACAUGUCCAACUCCAGCUAGGUCCUCCCAAGCACCAAUGAAUAGUACUUGUAGAUUUCAGUGGACUUGUUGUUUUAAUAUCUUUUCCUACUGCAGAAGAAGCUGAAGACAGUCUAAACAAAGUUGAUCAUCAUCAACUGGUCAUUUACCAAGAAAUGAUAAAGAAUGCAAAACAGAGCUGCCUAGUCAGUGCAGUGGCCACAGGAAUUGCUUAGGUGGAUGAAUGAUCUGUACAACCUCUCUUACUUAAGAUCCUCCUUUAGGAAUGAAACUAGGCUCUUUAGCCCUUCAGGUGGAUUGGACAUCAAACUCUCAUAGGGAUAAAUAUGAAUCAUAAAAGAGAGUUUAGCUGUUCCUGCUGAGACAACUGAUCAAGAUCAAAAGCAUCCUCUAAGGUUACCUUUAGAAGGUACUAUGGUUAAAAAGAAUUGAUGCCGAGCAGAAGCAUUUUCAAAGGAUUUGAAGAAUGCACCUCCAAGGACCACUAUCUCUGAUCUGUAUGAGAAGUAUCAAGAAGAAAUUUAAAAUGUUGUAUUUUCCAUUCACAUUUUUUUUUAUGAUCAGAGUCCUCAAUGAUAUUAAAAUGAAAUUCCUGUCUAUGCAAGACCAACUUUUUGCAGCUCACCAGGGUGGUCAUUCACACCACUGAAGGCACAACCAAUCACACAGCAUUUCAAAAAGUGUUGGCUUAAUUAAUGUUUAAACCUCAUGAAUAUAAUAAUCUUUGCUAAGGAUUGAAUAACAGUUACUCACCAUUAUCAAUCUAAUUUUUCUUGUGUCUUCCUCAAAAUUGAAGAAAAGGAGCAAAACAUAUAGCUUAAGAGAAUGCUGAACUGAGAACUGGACCCCCUUUGGGGGAAUUAGAGGAAGGAUUGAAAGAGCUGAAGGGGUUUGCAACCCCAUAAGAACAGCAAUGCCAACCAACCAGAGCUUCCAGGGACUAAACCACUACCCAAAGUCUAUAGAUGAACUGACCCAGAGCUCGAACUGCAUAUGUAGCAGAGAAUAGCCUUGUUGGGGUACCAGUGGAAGGGGAAGCCCUUGGUCCUGCCAAGGUUGGACCCCCAGUGCAGGGGAAUGUCCCAAGGGG
ensembl:lncRNA LOC102552725 uncharacterized LOC102552725